rnacentral:rRNA from 1 species
AUUGAACGCUGGCGGCAGGCCUAACACAUGCAAGUCGAGCGGCAGCGGGAAAGUAGCUUGCUACUUUUGCCGGCGAGCGGCGGUCGGGUGAGUAAUGCCUGGGAAAUUGCCCAGUCGAGGGGGAUAACAGUUGGAAACGACUGCUAAUACCGCAUACGCCCUACGGGGGAAAGCAGGGGACCUUCGGGCCUUGCGCGAUUGGAUAUGCCCAGGUGGGAUUAGCUGGUUGGUGAGGUAAUGGCUCACCAAGGCGACGAUCCCUAGCUGGUCUGAGAGGAUGAUCAGCCACACUGGAACUGAGACACGGUCCAGACUCCUACGGGAGGCAGCAGUGGGGAAUAUUGCACAAUGGGGGAAACCCUGAUGCAGCCAUGCCGCGUGUGUGAAGAAGGCCUUCGGGUUGUAAAGCACUUUCAGCGAGGAGGAAAGGUUGAUGCCUAAUACGUAUCAACUGUGACGUUACUCGCAGAAGAAGCACCGGCUAACUCCGUGCCAGCCGCCGCCGUAAUAC